GGCCCAGUGGUCUAAUGGAUAAGGCACCAGCUUCCGGAGCUGGGGUUUGUGGGUUUGAGUCCCAUCUGGGUCU
rnacentral:tRNA from 1 species